AUUUUCUGUAGGUAAGUAAAAAAAUAGCUUUGAAAGAGGGAAAUUUUUGGCUUUUGUGCCUCUUUUGCUUUACUGCUUUGUGCCUCUGCUGCUUUGCUCUGCUUUGCUUUUGUUUUUCUAUCUUAUCAGAAUGGUUUGAGCUCUGGGAAGUCUAAUUUGAUUUUUCAUUCAGGAUAGCUGCUACUGCUUUGAGGGAAUCCUCCAGUGCUUAAAAGCUUAAAAGGCACCCAGGAGAAGGCACUUGCACUGGUCGUAAAGGAGUCAGCUUGAAGUCAAAGUCCAUCUCAGGUGUAAAACAUGUGCUCCCCAAUUCUUCUUUCCUUGUUCUUUGGAAUUGCCUCUGAUGCCCCUGAUGCCGUUACUUACAAUGCCUUCAUGAACGGGAUAUGUAAAGAAGGGAGGGCGGAUGAUGCUUUUAGAUUAUGUGAUAAUAUGAAUAGUGAAGGACUGGCAUUAGAUAAUAUUACCUAUACGACUUUGAUCCAUGUGUCCUUGAAGGCUGGUUGCAAAUUUUGGCAUGAAAAGUUUAUUGUUGACCAUGGGACAGCAAUGAUACUUCUCUUUCUCAAAUACUGUACUGGUUGCUAAACAUCAGAGUUGCAUGCUUGCUUCUCACGCCUAGAAUGUCAGGUGCAUUUGAGCUUGAGAUUCCUGACUGAGCUAUUAACCGAAACAGGCUAAUGCUGCAGGAUGCACAUGUAUGGGGGUUGUGAUGACUUUCUUGCAUCAUGAAGAUGAAUUGGGAGAGAACUUCUCCUGGAUGAAUAGAAGUGCCAUGUAUCACAAUCAAGUUCCUCACUUUUCUCUGCUAAAAACUGAGUAUGUUGAUGGACAAAUCUUGCACCAUUCAUCUGUUAAUUGGUAGGUAGAGAAGAUUUAUCAGAUAGAUUGUUGUUUUCAUUAUCUGGCCAACGAGGUGGUAGAACAACCCCCCCUCCCCCUUUUUCUUGGUUGAGGGAAUUGGAUUUUGAGGUAGGAAUAAAUAAGAAACUUCAAAGCAGGCAGUUAGUUCUUCCAGAAAUACUAAAUUCGGUGUUUGUAAGAUGAUUCAUUCAUCAUGUUAUGUAAUGUCAAAGAAGGAAAUUAAAUAGAAAGAAAUUAAUAAAAA